rnacentral:tRNA from 1 species
GUUCGGGUAGCUCAGUGGUAGAGCAGAAGACUGAAAAUCUUUGUGUCACUGGUUCAAAUCCAGUCUCGGACA